rnacentral:ncRNA from 1 species
NNNNNNNAAAGAGUAACGGAGGAGCACGAAGGUUUGCUAAGUACGGUCGGACAUCGUACGGUUAGUGUAAUGGUAGAAGCAAGCUUAACUGCGAGACGGACAAGUCGAGCAGGUACGAAAGUAGGUCAUAGUGAUCCGGUGGUUCUGAAUGGAAGGGCCAUCGCUCAAC